UAAGGCCCGUUUACACUUGCAAUUUUCGCUGCGAUUUCUAGUGCGAUUUUCGUCUUCUGAUGCAUGUGAACGAGUAGAUGAGUUAUGAAUGAUAUAAGUAUAUGUACUCUCAUCUGAACAUUCAUAACUUAUCUACUCGUUCACAUCCAUUAGACGAAGAAAAUCACACUAGAAAUCGCAGCGAAAAUUGCAAGUGUAAACGGGCCUUU